rnacentral:rRNA from 1 species
AGAGUUUGAUCCUGGCUCAGAGCGAACGCUGGUGGUAUGCUUAACACAUGCAAGUCGAACGAGGAAUGGUAGCUUGCUAUCAUUGCCUAGUGGCGAACGGGUGAGUAACGCGUAGGAAUCUACCUAUCAGUAUGGGAUAACAUUCAGAAAUGAAUGCUAAUACCGUAUACGCCCUACGGGGGAAAGAUUUAUUUGCUGAUAGAUGAGCCUGCGUUGGAUUAGCUAGUUGGUGAGGUAAUGGCUCACCAAGGCGAUGAUCUAUAGCUGGUCUGAGAGGAUGAUCAGCCACACUGGAACUGAGAUACGGUCCAGACUCCUACGGGAGGCAGCAGUGGGGAAUAUUGGACAAUGGGCGACAGCCUGAUCCAGCAAUACCACGUGAAUGAUGAAGGCCUUCGGGUUGUAAAAUUCUUUUAGCGGGGAAGAUAAUGACUGUACCCGCAGAAAAAGCACCGGCUAACUUCGUGCCAGCAGCCGCGGUAAUACGAAGGGUGCAAGCGUCGCUCGGAAUUACUGGGCGUAAAGAGUAUGUAGGCUGUUCUGUAAGUUGAGAGUGAAAUCCCAAGGCUUAACCUUGGAGUGGCUUUCAAGACUGCAGGGCUAGAGUAAGGUAGAGGAUAGCGGAAUUCCUAGUGUAGAGGUGGAAUUCGUAGAUAUUAGGAGGAACACCAGGGGCGAAGGCGGCUAUCUGGGCCUUUACUGACGCUGAGAUACGAAAGUGUGGGGAGCAAACAGGAUUAGAUACCCUGGUAGUCCACACCGUAAACGAUGAGUGCUUGGUGUUGGAAUUUAUUUCAGCGCCGCAGCUAACGCGUUAAGCACUCCGCCUGGGGAGUACGGUCGCAAGGCUAAAACUCAAAGGAAUUGACGGGGACCUGCACAAGCGGUGGAGCAUGCGGUUUAAUUCGAUGAUACGCGAAAAACCUUACCAAUUCUUGACAUAUACACUAUGAUUGACAGAGAUGUCGUCUUCAGUUCGGCUGGGUGUAAACAGGUGUUGCAUGGCCGUCGUCAGCUCGUGUCGUGAGAUGUUGGGUUAAGUCCCGCAACGAGCGCAACCCCUAUCUCAUUUUUCCAACGGGUUAUGCCGGGAACUAUUGAGAGACUGCUGGUGUUAAACCAGAGGAAGGUGGGGAUGACGUCAGGUCAUCACGGCCCUUAUGAAUUGGGCUACACGCGUGCUACAAUGGUAUUUACAAAGAGUUGCGAUACCGCGAGGUGGAGCUAAUCUCAAAAAGAAUAUCUCAGUUCGGAUUGGACUCUGAAACUCGAGUCCAUGAAGCUGGAAUCGCUAGUAAUCGUGGAUCAGCAUGCCACGGUGAAUACGUUCCCGGGCCUUGU